rnacentral:antisense_RNA from 1 species
GCAGCGGGUACAGCAGCUUCCUCAGCUGCUGCUUCGGCAGCCGCAGCACCUCAGCAAAAGCUUGGGACGUGCUGUUAUAGCGGCUCAGUCGCUCUAGCACCGCAGGCAUUUCAAAGAGUCUUUCCGCUCCCAGCCGCAGCCCGGGCGCCGCCAUUCUCCCUUCCCAGAAGACGGGCAGAGAGACUUUACUCCUGGCCUGGGUUGCGCGUGCGUGACUUCCCGCUGCCGCGACGCCUGCUGGGAGUUGUUGUCUCCUCUGGCCUCGCUCGUUCCGGUCUAAGUUUUUUGCCGUCAGUGCGCGGGAGGAGGGUGGAGGCAGGCGGUGACCUGCGGGGAACAGCUCACUGGGUUUCUUUAACACCGUGGGCUUAACGAUUAUGUCUUACUGGAAGGAUGUUUAACGGUUUGCAGAGGUGAAAGACCUAUCUGGCCAUGUGGCCCUUGAGUCUCAAGCGAAGGACUAAAGUGUGAAGCUCCGAUGCGUUCCAGGAACGUUUGAUUUUCACAGUUUUUGGUUAUCUUAUUAACUGUUGACGUUUGUCGUAAGUCCGCAGCACUAGGAUAAACACUUUUGCAAAAAAGAAAAGGGCUGCUGAGAAAUGUGAUUGUAAUAGCACCUCGUUUUCGUGGAAGGGACUGUUUGUAUUUCCGCCUUCACUACAGGUGCAGGAAAUGUCAUUAAAUUUUAGAGAUUUCUUACAAAAA